AUGCCCAUAGCUCUAAGGGAGAGCAUUUACUUUCUAAGUAAGAGGUCGUAGGUUCAAACCCUGCUGGGUGUU
rnacentral:tRNA from 1 species